rnacentral:rRNA from 1 species
GAUGAACGCUGGCGGCGUGCCUAAUACAUGCAAGUCGAGCGAACAGACGAGGAGCUUGCUCCUCUGACGUUAGCGGCGGACGGGUGAGUAACACGUGGAUAACCUACCUAUAAGACUGGGAUAACUUCGGGAAACCGGAGCUAAUACCGGAUAAUAUAUUGAACCGCAUGGUUCAAUAGUGAAAGACGGUUUUGCUGUCACUUAUAGAUGGAUCCGCGCCGCAUUAGCUAGUUGGUAAGGUAACGGCUUACCAAGGCAACGAUGCGUAGCCGACCUGAGAGGGUGAUCGGCCACACUGGAACUGAGACACGGUCCAGACUCCUACGGGAGGCAGCAGUAGGGAAUCUUCCGCAAUGGGCGAAAGCCUGACGCAGCAACGCCGCGUGAGUGAUGAAGGUCUUCGGAUCGUAAACCUCUGUUAUUCGGGAAGAACAGGUGUUGAAUUAGCUAUGGAGGUAUUGACGGUACCGGAUCAAGAAGCACCGGCUAACUACGUG